CAACUCUGGAAAGCUUUGCGUAAAGUAAAGCACCGACGGAGUAAGCAGAGAAUUAUUUUCUUUGUGAAUCUCUCAGGUUCGAAGACAGAGGGGG
rnacentral:ncRNA from 1 species